UAGCUACUUGCAUCAUUGUAGAUUUGAUGUAAGAUCGACUAUGUUGAAUAAAAUUCUAGGUAGAAUUAUGAUAAUGACAUUGUCUGCCUAUGUGUCUUGACCAAAUUACGUGCCAGCAGUCGCGGUAAUACGUAGAAGACUAGUGUUAUUCAUGUUUAAUCGGUUUAAAGGGUACCUAGACGGUAGAUCAAGCUUUCUAAUAAAUGAAAAGGACUAAUUUACUAGAGUUACUUAUGAGGGGGUAUUAAAGUACUGCUGGUGUAGAGAUGAAAUUCUGUCAUACCUCUUUUCAAAAGAAAAACCAUGGCACAGGUAUAGGCGAAGGCAUCCCCUUAUGUGAUAACUGACGUUGAGGGACGAAGGCUUUGUGUAGCGAACAGGAUUAGAUACCCCAGUAGUCGAAGCAGAAAAUGAUGAAUGUCAUAGAUUAGAUGUAUAAGUUUAUUCUAUAAAUGAAAGUGUAAGCAUUCCACCUCAUGAGUAAUUUGGCAACAUUGGAACUGAAAUCAUUAGACCGUUUCUGAAACCAGUAGUGAAGUAUGUUGUUUAAUUUGAUGAUCCGCAAAAAACCUUACCACAAUUUGAAUAUUUAUAUUUUUUUUAUUGUUUUUUUCUUAAUAGAUAAAUAAUUAAAGAAAAAAAUCAAAAAAGGAAGAAAAUUAAGAAAGAGGCAAUAAGAUAUAUUUACAAGCGUUGCACGGCUGUCUUCAGUUAAUGUCGCGAGACUUUGGUUAGUUCCAUUAAAUUAACGUAAACCCUUACUUUAUUUUUAUAUAGAGUAGUUCCCCGCUAUAUUGGAUAUGAUACAGG
rnacentral:rRNA from 1 species